rnacentral:rRNA from 1 species
GACGAACGCUGGCGGCGUGCUUAACACAUGCAAGUCGAACGGAAAGGCCCUGCUUUUGUGGGGUGCUCGAGUGGCGAACGGGUGAGUAACACGUGAGUAACCUGCCCUUGACUUUGGGAUAACUUCAGGAAACUGGGGCUAAUACCGGAUAGGAGCUCCUGCUGCAUGGUGGGGGUUGGAAAGUUUCGGCGGUUGGGGAUGGACUCGCGGCUUAUCAGCUUGUUGGUGGGGUAGUGGCUUACCAAGGCUUUGACGGGUAGCCGGCCUGAGAGGGUGACCGGCCACAUUGGGACUGAGAUACGGCCCAGACUCCUACGGGAGGCAGCAGUGGGGAAUAUUGCACAAUGGGCGGAAGCCUGAUGCAGCAACGCCGCGUGCGGGAUGACGGCCUUCGGGUUGUAAACCGCUUUCGCCUGUGACGAAGCGUGAGUGACGGUAAUGGGUAAAGAAGCACCGGCUAACUACGUGCCAGCAGCCGCGGUGAUACGUAGGGUGCGAGCGUUGUCCGGAUUUAUUGGGCGUAAAGGGCUCGUAGGUGGUUGAUCGCGUCGGAAGUGUAAUCUUGGGGCUUAACCCUGAGCGUGCUUUCGAUACGGGUUGACUUGAGGAAGGUAGGGGAGAAUGGAAUUCCUGGUGGAGCGGUGGAAUGCGCAGAUAUCAGGAGGCACACCAGUGGCGAAGGCGGUUCUCUGGGCCUUUCCUGACGCUGAGGAGCGAAAGCGUGGGGAGCGAACAGGCUUAGAUACCCUGGUAGUCCACGCUGUAAACGGUGGGUACUAGGUGUGGGGUCCAUUCCACGGGUUCCGUGCCGUAGCUAACGCUUUAAGUACCCCGCCUGGGGAGUACGGCCGCAAGGCUAAAACUCAAAGGAAUUGACGGGGCCCCGCACAAGCGGCGGAGCAUGCGGAUUAAUUCGAUGCAACGCGUAGAACCUUACCUGGGUUUGACAUGGAUCGGGAGCGCUCAGAGAUGGGUGUGCCUCUUUUGGGGUCGGUUCACAGGUGGUGCAUGGCUGUCGUCAGCUCGUGUCGUGAGAUGUUGGGUUAAGUCCCGCAACGAGCGCAACCCUUGUUCACUGUUGCCAGCACGUUAUGGUGGGGACUCAGUGGAGACCGCCGGGGUCAACUCGGAGGAAGGUGGGGAUGACGUCAAGUCAUCAUGCCCCUUAUGUCCAGGGCUUCACGCAUGCUACAAUGGCUGGUACAGAGAGUGGCGAGCCUGUGAGGGUGAGCGAAUCUCGGAAAGCCGGUCUCAGUUCGGAUUGGGGUCUGCAACUCGACCUCAUGAAGUCGGAGUCGCUAGUAAUCGCAGAUCAGCAACGCUGCGGUGAAUACGUUCCCGGG